CCCGAGCUCCCAACAAAACGGUUCCAUCUUUGGCUAGGCCUUUGGUAUUUCAAGGCGCUGCCGGUGGGGAGAGAUGCCGCGUGCCUGAGAGGCUCUGGGAGCCUAGUUUAUCUCCCGGGAGCUGACUUCAUUUCUAAACGUAUAGGGGUUUCUUAGAGGAGCUUCAGAAUACUAAUCAUCGCUAGUGAGGGCACUUGGACACUUUGCUUCACCUCAGCCAGCACCUCUUUUCCCAGCUGUAAAAUGAGAGCUAAUGCUGGCAGCUGUUGGGAUGUCCUCUUCCAGGAAUGGUGAUGAGUUUCCCUGGAUCCAGCCCUGGCUUGGCUGAGGUUUUUCUCACUGUAAGAAGAGGACAAUAGCCUAUGAUCUACAGUGCCCAUUCCAACUCAGAGAAUCUUUACAUCUGGAGAUCUAUAGCAGGGCUAUCCCUAGUGACAUGCGUGAAGAAGCUUGGAAAUGGUGCUGGGUAGGAGCUGAGUGUGCAGAAUGUGGAAAGGCAUUCUAAACCAAAGGAAGAACACGAGUAAAGAUGAUGAAGCAGGGAUAAGGCUAAAAUGAAAUUUGUGAUCUGAUCCACAUACAAGCACAGUGUAGUACAGCUGGAAUAUAGAGAAGAGCUUGAAGACUUAUGAGCAACUAUCCCGGUACUCUUGGAGGCUCUGCAACCACAGUUUGAGAAACUCCGCGUUCAAAGUUAAAAACUGUCACCUGAAUAGUUAAUAACAUCAAAGAUUGUGAAAGCAAGUAUAAAUAACACAGAGAUUAAAAUAAUGAGGCAGGAUCAGAAAUUGCUGACCUCCAUAACAGCAGACAAAAUUGGAAGCAAGAGUGAUUUUGGAGGAGUCACACUUAGAUGUUUCCCUUACCUAUUUCUGUUCUGGAAAUUUAAAAAUCUUACUUCUCGUGACAGUCCUACAUGAAAAAUUAAAAAUCACAAGGAUUCAUGGAUGGAAAACUGAGACUCAGAGAAUGAUCACAUUCACAUCGUAAUAAAUCAGCAAUAGAGUGAGUGAUUGUUCCUUGGUAAGAAAUCAACUCUAAACUCAGUUGGAAACCUUUGCCAAUAUUACUUAACACAUGACAAUCUGGUGUGACUCAUUUUUCUUGACAUUAUGCAAAUAAAGGAAACAAGACUGAGUGGCCUUCUGUCCGGAGAGCAGGAAAUGAAGGCUGUCUGGGGCCACAUGUUUCCUGGGACAUGUGGUGUCAGAAAUGGGUACUAGAAGAACCAGGCCUUU
rnacentral:lncRNA from 1 species